GCGUCGGUGGCUCAGCGGACUAGAGCACGCGCCACUGGAUAGCGUGAAAUACGGGUUCGAAUCUCGACUGACGCA